GCAGUCGUGGCCGAGUGGUUAAGGUGAUGGACUAGAAAUCCAUUGGGGUCUCCCCACACAGGUUCGAAUCCUGUCGACUGCG
rnacentral:tRNA from 1 species